CUCCUCUGCGCAUCAUUGGCGUUCGUCGCGGCCACCGAGGAGAAGUACCCGGCCACGUUCGACAGCCUGGACCUGAAGGAGCUGCUGUCGGAUGAAACUCGAGUCCAGGAUGCGAUGCGCUGCCUGCUGGAAGAAGGAGAUGCAGCGUGCAGACCCGCCGCGAAGGCGCUCAAGAAGGUGCUGCCCGAAAUAGUGCGUACAGACUGCGCCAAGUGCACUGAGACACAGCUCAAGAAGAUCGGAGGUUUCUUCGGAGAGAUUUCGCACCGCCACCCAGACCUCAUG